UUCCUGUGCAUAGGGGUUGGACUGGGGAGAACCUUAAUUUACAUGGAACGCCUAGCGAAAAACGCGCAUGCAUUAUGCGCUAGAACCUGAGUCGUGCAUGUCUUUACACGUUUUUGUUCAUUGCACUGUCAUUGACCCGAAACCGAAAGACAGCGGCGAGUAUUAGCGACCUCAAGAUACUACCAAGUGAUAUUUCGGAAUUGUGAACAUGGCUCCCCAAGUAAACAUAUUUGCGGGUUCAUUAAUCGUUUUGAUGAUGUUAUUUUGUGGAUAUCCAGUACUCUUGCAAUCCCAUUACGUCGGUUUUAGCAAGGACAACUACGUCGCACAGAAUGUUUCGAUAAAUUUGGAUCGUUCCGUGUUUACCGUCAGUGAAAAGUUUCUCUCCGUUGCGAUCGACUCUAACAUUAUGAGGCAUCACUGGCCUCACGUGAAUUUCACUUCCGAGAGAUUGUUUAACCUUGCCAGGGGACUUUCUCCAGCAUUUCUCCGCAUUGGUGGAACGGCUGGGGAUUUUCUGAUCUAUGAUGAUUCCCAAGGGCUCCAAAAGCCCAAGAAUGUUAGUAAUUUUACAAUCACCCAUCAAGAUUUGGACAAGAUUCACUUGUUAUCCUCCAAAGCAGGUUGGGAUGUCAUGUUUGGGUUGAAUGUGCUUCUAAGGACACAAGAUGGCUCUUGGGAUGCAAGCAACCCCAAAGAAAUAAUGCAAUAUGUUGCUGAACAUGGCUAUAAUUUUGGAUGGGAGCUUGGAAAUGAACCAAAUCUUUUUGUUGAUUUCGGUAAGUCAGUUUCUCCAGAGGAACUUGCAGAAGACUUUCAUACUUUAAGAGCAAUUCUGCAGAGCAGCCCUCAAUUUGGAAAUUAUCUUGUUGGCCCUGAUGUAACAACAGUAUCAAAUCACUCCAAGUCAGCCAACUUUUUUGAGAGAUUAGGGAAGGAUCUCAAACCACCACCAGAUUAGCUGCUUGACCAUAAUUUAUGAAAUUUCUCAUGUGUUGGUGAUUGAGGCUCAUGAGUGUCCAGCUUUGUUUCACAUGCCAAGGAUGUCAUAGAUGCAGUAACAUGGCACCAGUA
rnacentral:misc_RNA from 1 species